UACGAAGGGGGCUAGCGUUGCUCGGAAUUACUGGGCGUAAAGGGCGCGUAGGCGGACAGUUUAGUCAGAGGUGAAAGCCCAGGGCUCAACCUUGGAAUUGCCUUUGAUACUGGCUGUCUUGAGUUCGGGAGAGGUGAGUGGAAUGCCGAGUGUAGAGGUGAAAUUCGUAGAUAUUCGGCGGAACACCAGUGGCGAAGGCGACUCACUGGCCCGAUACUGACGCUGAGGCGCGAAAGCGUGGGGAGCAAACAGGAUUAGAUACCCUGGUAGUCCACGCCGUAAACGAUGAGUGCUAGUUGUCGGCAUGCAUGCAUGUCGGUGACGCAGCUAACGCAUUAAGCACUCCGCCUGGGGAGUACGGUCGCAAGAUUA
rnacentral:rRNA from 1 species